GAUGAAGAACGCAGCGAAAUGCGAUAAGUAAUGUGAAUUGCAGAAUUCAGUGAAUCAUCGAAUCUUUGAACGCACAUUGCGCCCGCCAGUAUUCUGGCGGGCAUGCCUGUCCGAGCGUCAUUUCAACCAUCAAGCCCCCGGCUUGUGUUGGGGACCUGCGGCUGCCGCAGGCCCUGAAAAGCAGUGGCGGGCUCGCUGUCACACCGAGCGUAGUAGAUUUCAUCUCGCUCAGGGCGUGCUGCGGGUUCCGGCCGUUAAACCACCUUCAUAACCCAAGGUUGACCUCGGAUCAGGUAGGAAGACCCGCUGAACUUAAGCAUAUCAAUAAGCGGAGGA
rnacentral:misc_RNA from 1 species